rnacentral:rRNA from 1 species
GAUGGGGGAUGCAAGCGUUAUCCGGAAUCACUGGGCGUAAAGCGUCUGUAGGUGGUGAUGCAAGUCACUGGUGCAAAACUCUGGCUCAACCGGAGGAAAGCCAGUGAAACUGCAUGACUAGAGUGUGGGAGAGUUAGAAGGUAUUCCCUGAGUAGCGGUGAAAUGCGUAGAUACAGGGAAGAACACCGGAGGCGAAAGCGUUCUACUGGAACACAACUGACACUGAGAGACGACAGCUAGGGGAGCUAAUGGG